UACGAAGGGGGCUAGCGUUGCUCGGAAUCACUGGGCGUAAAGCGCACGUAGGCGGAUUGUUAAGUCAGGGGUGAAAUCCUGGAGCUCAACUCCAGAACUGCCUUUGAUACUGGCGAUCUCGAGUCCGGGAGAGGUGAGUGGAACUGCGAGUGUAGAGGUGAAAUUCGUAGAUAUUCGCAAGAACACCAGUGGCGAAGGCGGCUCACUGGCCCGGUACUGACGCUGAGGUGCGAAAGCUAGGGGAGCAAACGGG
rnacentral:rRNA from 1 species